UACGUAGGGUGCGAGCGUUAAUCGGAAUUACUGGGCGUAAAGCGUGCGCAGGCGGUUUGUUAAGACAGAUGUGAAAGCCCCGAGCUUAACUUGGGAAUUGCGCUUGUGACUGGCGUGCUGGAGUGUGGCAGAGGGAGGUGGAAUUCCACGUGUAGCAGUGAAAUGCGUAGAGAUGUGGAGGAACACCGAUGGCGAAGGCAGCCUCCUGGGCCAGCACUGACGCUCAUGCACGAAAGCGUGGGGAGCAAACAGG
rnacentral:rRNA from 1 species